ACCAUACAACUUUUGGCAAUAAAGUUUCAGCCAAUAGAAACUUCUGGCUCAACGAUUCCAACACUUUAGGAAGUCUUUGACCGAGGAGCAUUCGGGCGAAUGCUCAACGGAUGGAGAAUGGAGCCGGAAGCCCUGCCGUGUUGCAGUUUGAAGCACCCGUGGGUGUGUGCAGAGAUUAAUCCACUCCGUCGGGAGAAAGAGCGCCUGUUUGGUGGAUAGGAGAGUCUCGGGGCCUCUUGGUAGAGACCCCUACGACCAAGCAACGAUUGCCAAGGAGGAGGUGAAAGAAGAGGAGCCCCACUUAAGUCAUUAACUAGCUUUCAGCGUUUCAGAGCUGAGGUUUCAGGCCCAAGCCAGGGAUGGAGCAUUUCUGGCAAAGGCAGGAAGCUCUCACUAGUCCAACAGAAAGAGCACAUUCUUUGCCCGUGCGGGACCCCGACUCCAUUCCUCUGGGCACGGCUGGUGACACGUCGGAAAAUCUUCCUCGGAUGUAUCUUUCACCGGGGUUUAAGGAGCACCGAUAGCAACCGCUAGGUUUUCCAAGGCGUAGCAGGCAGAAUAACUCCCAGGAUGCCCGAAAGCCGCUCGGUAUCAGGUCUGCUCGUCGGUCCAUCUGUCCCACGACUAUCGGCACGGACCGGCUGCAGGGCUCUGAACAUCCGUUCAAGCAGAGGGGUUUUUCCCAGCCCUUCCCUGGAAACGCAGGGGUGAACCUGGACCUUUUGCACGCAAAGCAACAGCUCGAACUCGGACUGCGGCCAUCCGUCAGGAGACAAGCAACCUGCUUGCAAAUAGCACUCCUAAGUAAACCAAAAAAUUAAUCUUCCACGUUUGACACAGAGAAGAAACAAACACGGUUGAGUCGGGGAAUUAUAAAAUUAUUCUUGCUUAACGUUACAUACUUUUAUAAGCAUCUGGUUAAAACAAUCCAAUUUGGCCAAAGUAUUUAGAUGUAAAUACUUUAUUGCAAAGAGAAGGAAUUAAGCGCACGUUAUUUAUAAUUUAUAAUUUAUAAUUAUAUUCAGACCUAGGAAAAACAUUCCACUUGCAUUUCUCAUGACUUAAUUUUAGAAUUCACAAAGAGCUCUUCAUUAAAGGGGAAGAUAUCGUCUAAGUAUUGUCCUCUGGGAUAAAAAAAAAAACAGGCAACUAUACCUGUAAAUUCUGUGGCAAGCAGUACAAGUACUCCACGCCAUCCCAGGAACACGUGGCCCUUCACGCACCAAUCCGUGCGUAUCCAGCUGUGACACAGCAACCGGGGAGACCCCGGGAUCCAGGAUCUUUCAAGGCAGAGGCCAAUCGCACCUCUAAAGCGAUCACGAGGGACAGACCAGUACCGGCAUAUCUCCCUGAUAGCUGUCCUUUGGGGAUAUACUUUGAGAGAAGGAGUUGUUCCUAUUUCAGUGCAAAUAGUCAGGCCAGAUUGCCUAUCAUUGUUAAUACUAUAUUAAACCGUAAAUAAAAUUAUACCUGUAUUUUGCAGUUUA